rnacentral:rRNA from 1 species
CCUACGGGAUGCAGCAGUGAGGAAUAUUGGUCAAUGGGCGAGAGCCUGAACCAGCCAAGUCGCGUGAAGGAUGACGGCCCUACGGGUUGUAAACUUCUUUUGUCAGGGAGCAAUUGGGUCCACGCGUGGGCUUAGCGAGAGUACCUGAAGAAAAAGCAUCGGCUAACUCCGUGCCAGCAGCCGCGGUAAUACGGAGGAUGCGAGCGUUAUCCGGAUUUCUUGGGUUUAAAGGGUGCGUAGGCGGAAUAUCAAGUCAGCGGUAAAAAUUCGGGGCUCAACCCCGUCGGGCCGUUGAAACUGGCUGUCUUGAGAUGUCGAGAGGUAUGCGGAAUGCGCAGUGUAGCGGUGAAAUGCUUAGAUAUUGCGCAGAACUCCGAUUGCGAAGGCAGCAUACCGGCGGCGAUCUGACGCUGAGGCACGAAAGCGUGGGUAUCGAACAGGAUUAGAUACCCCUGUAGUC